UCAAGGUGUUUGCACAUUACAUUGUAUUUGUAGUGAUAGGAAUGGAAACUGGAGGUUUCUAUCUAGGAGUUCCUAGGUAUAGAUUGCAUUGGGUAGGGAUUAAGUGAUGAGUUGUAAACGGGGGAGUUUAACUCUGAAUUGAUACUACUAAUAGUGGAUCUUCUUCCUGGCUUGGUAGCCCCCAGAUGUAGGUCAUGUUGGACUGAACUGGGUUAACAAUUUCCUGUGUUGGUUUUUCCUUCUGUAUGAUAUAAUCAUGUCUGCCAAAACUAAGCAGGUAAUUCAGUCUGUUCAGCAAGAUAAUAUCAGAUCUGAUACAUAGCCUUCUGUUGGAAUGUCAAGCAGAAUGUUUUGACAUUCUCCAACAACAGCACAUACUGUUUAAUAAGCUGAUGAAUUCAGUUCAGUAUGUAGUGAAGUCUGGAUUUAAAAAGCAUCACAGACCUGGCCAUAAGAUCAUUGUGAAACUGUCAAACUGGGUGUCUUGACAGUUCUUCCAGUAAGCUGAUACUGAAGUAUAGACUGGUUGGUCUUUUACAGUACAGCAAAUUUAGCCCAGUCUGUUUUCAGGAACCAAACAGACUUAGCAUAUGGUUCUGGACUUGGAUGUCAAACGGGAUGUUGUGACAUUCACUCCUGACUGCAUAUGCUAAAUUGUUGGAUAGUUAGUUUUUCUGUUUCAGGAUUUUUCUCAGGCUAUUCUUCAGGAAUCCACCAGCUGAACUAAAAUCUAGGAAACUAACAACUAAGCUACAAUUAAUGAACCUGGCAAAUAAUAUAUUUGUUAGCUCCUUAAUAAGUGGAGAUUAGUUUAACUUGUUACAACCUUUAAUUUAGGAAAUACAAGUACAUGACCAACAAACUGGAACAAUGUAACAGAUGAUAUCUGUGUAGGAAAACAACAGAAGUGAAGGUUAUGGUACACAUAACAAAUUGUUCCUCCUCUAUAGGAUGACAUAGAAGGAGAGGUUGUGACACUGUGAAAAGGUGCACAAUAGUACAGAGUGUAAUAACUGUCUAGCUGUAAUAAGUACAAUGUUAGAUCAGAUGUCAUGACUUGAAGUAGAACAUCUGAAUACUGACUACACCAGAAUUUCACAUGUGGAUACCUUCGCCUGGUUGUAUCAGGAUAUGCCAGGGUCGGAUACCGAUGUCGUGGUGCACAAGCUACCAUGGAGAGAAGAAUGUCCUCUAGUGAAGCAGAACACCGGUGCCACGUAUCAGAGUGACUUUGUUUCAUGAUAUGAUUCAUCGUGGAAUCAAAUGAUAUGUUGAUGACAUGAUAGCAAAGUCCCAAACAGGAGGAGGGCAUCCGGUAGACCGGGGCAAGUUUUCUGACCGGUCAAGACAACUCAGACUGAGGUUGAGUCCGAAUUAGUGCACUUGGGGAGUGCUGUCCGGUAAAAUACUGAGGCUUAUUGUGAGCGAAUAAGAGGAAUCGAGGUUGAUCCUGCUAAAAAAAAGAAAAGAAAGAAAAGAAAAAGGAAAAAAGCAAUACAGGAAAUGCCUGAACCGAAAAUAAAAGAAGGUUCGUGGUUUCUUAGAUAGAUUGAAUUGCAUUUCACGGUUCAUAUCUCAUCUGAUAGCCACGUGGGAACCCAUUCAAGAAAAAAAGGAACAAACGGUCAGGUGGAAUAUGAUUGCCAAGGGGCAUUGAAAGGUAAAAGAAUAAGUUGCAGGAACCUCUGAUUCUGAUGCCUCAUGUGGAAGGAACAAUUGUUAAUCUGGUACUUGACAGCCCUCGAGGGGUCUAUGAGGUGCGUAUUGUGUCAGCAUGACGAGUCUGGUCGAAAAGAGCAUGCAAUUUACAUUACCAAAAUGUUUAUCGAUUGCGAAACAAUACAUUCACUGCUCGAGAAAACUUGUUGUACUUUGGCAUAGGUUGCUCGCCGACUGGGACAGUAUAUGCUGGUUCAUACCAUUUUGUGGAUGUCCAAGAUGGAUCCGAUCAAGUAUGCGUUUGAGAAGUCAGCAUCGACCGGACGGGUGGCGAGAGGGCAAAUGAUGUUGACUGAAUACGAUAUUCAGUAUACCUCUCAGAAAGCAAUCGAGGGGAGUGUAUUGUCCGAUUACAUCGCCUCGCAACCCAUUGAGGAUUAUCAACCAAGGAAGUCUGAGUUCCCUGAUGAGGACAUCUCGAGGUGCUCAAAUCGAAAGAUUGUGAGGAACCGAUCCCGGAGGAGGGGCCUGACCCUGAAUCCGAACGGAUUCUGAUGUCUGAUGGGGGGAGGUUAAUGUGGAUGAGUUAGUGUCGUUUUGGUUACGCCGAAAAGAUCCCACAUUCCUUUUGUUGCCCGGAUAACAUUUGAAUGCACCAACAAUGGUGGCUGAGUACGAAGCUUGUAUCCUGGGUAUUGAUCUUCGGUGCGUACGUCUACUGGGGCAACGCCGCGCUCGCUCGUGUAUGGGAUAGAAGUGGUAUUACCUACUGAAGUCUAGAUCCCAUUGUGGAGAGUUCUGAUGGGUGAGAAAUUAGAGAAGGCUGAGUGGAUAUGGACUCGGUAUGACGCGUUGAGCCUGACUGAGGAAAAGAGGAUGGCAGUUACUUGUCAUGGGGCAUUUGUACCCAGUGAAUGAAGCCUGUUGUUGACCGAAAAGUGCGACCUCGUGCGUACCCCGUGGGAGAGCUGGUACCGAAAAGGAUCCUUCCUCCUCAACGAUCGUAGGGGCAAGUGGACACACAAUUAUGAAUGCCCACUCGUGGUCAAGAAGGCGUUCUCUGGCAGAGCCUUGUUGUUGACGACCAUGGAUGACGAAGAUUUUCCAUCCCUUGUGAAUGCGGACGCAGUUAAAAAAUACUUCGUAAAAAUUGACCCGCUGGACAAAAAGAAUAAAAGAGUCCAGGCAAAAAAGGGCAUCCCGGCGAACCAAGAAAAAAGAGAAAAGGUUCGGGAAAAAGUUAGGGAUAAAGAAUGAAAAGAAUUUGUACACCCGGCAAGUCGAAAACCCCACAAGGGCGGCUUGGGCAAAAAAGGGUAUCCCGGUGGAUCGAAAACCCGAAAGGGCGGUCCAGGCAAAAGAGGGACUGAAACGAAUAACUGCGUCCAGCACGAUCGUUUGUGCUUGAGAUAUGACUUGGAUAAUCUCCGACAGAGAUCGAUCGGAAGCGUCUUGUUCAGAAGACAGAAAGUGCGGAAAGUCUUGAGGACAUAGGGGGUGUAACCGAGUUGAAACCCGAUGAGAUCACGGUUUCACAUUGCCAUUAGGAUAGAUUUUUCCUUUUGUGCGCGAUCACCUCUUUUCAGGGAUUGCUUCCUGUGUUGCUCGGUCAUGAGCCACCUUUUUUUUCAGUCAAUAAAUGCAUGUUCAGUCAAAUAAUUUUGUUUUUGUCUUCAUUACCUCUUUGAUUGCGAAAACAUCCGUUUAUUUUUUAUAAGAAUAUUUGCAUUUUGAAACAUAGAGGUCCCUUCCGAUGCAUGCUUAUAAGAUUGGAAUCUGGAAAUCUUAUUCGGAAGUUCGAGUGACCUAGGUGUCGAAAUGUUGGCACGCCUGGGGCACGCUUUUAUCUAACGAUCUCUUGUGCAGGUGCUGUUAGAUAUCUUCAUUCACUUGUAGAUUGUGAUGGGUAACAUUUUGAUAAAAGAUCCCUGCAGAGUCCAACCAGGGGCAAGGGAUAGAAGAACGGUGAAGACGGUGAAAGAAUUGCGACUACGAUCCUAGAGGGUAAUCAAGAAGACUCUUCAAAGUCUGAAGAUUGGAGAGUUUGCCCGGAUCCGAGGAGAUCAAUUGUCUCGAAGCAAAGAAAAGACAAGAAUACUGGGUGAUGGAUCAGAAAAGACCGGACGAGUCUGGGAGUCCUCAAAAGUGGGAAGUUGACACUAUGGUUGGAUGGUAAAUGCCAAGGUUAGACGAAUCGAUGAGCGUUCCAUGGUCGUAUCUCCCCAGUGGGUUGGGGAGUGUUAUCUCCCUAGCAGAUUCGAGAUCGGUGUCUCCUCAGCGAGCCUGAAGGUUGCCAUAUCCCCAGUGGAAGGGUCGGUGGGUAGAUUGUUCCUAAGGGUUCAGGAUGUUUCCCCAGCAGGCUUGGAAGGGGCUGUUUCCCCAAGCAAGUCUGAAAGCUGUUAGAACUGUUAUUCCCCAGUAGUCGGGUAGCAGGAUCAAAGGUUAUUCUAUCCCCAGCAGGUCUAAGGAUUUUUAGUUCCCCAACAGGCCCGGGAGUUGGUCUGUCCCCAGCUAGUCUGAAGGCUGUUGGUCUCCACUAAGUCUGAAGGUUGUAUCCCCAGCGGAGGUAUCAGUGAGUAGUUUGUUCCUCAGUAGCGGGGUAUGAAGUACUGUAAUCCUCAGCAUAGUCGUGAAUGCCUUUCCCCAGCAGGGUUGUGAUAUUCUUCCCCAGCAAUUUUGAAGAGGGUAGUUGUCUCAGCGGAGGUUUGUGUUGAUGGUUUUCCCCAACGAGUUCCCCAAGUGGAUCAGGGUCGGAGAAUCCCCAGUAGAGUUAAUCCUGCAUGUGGAUUGGUCGCUGUCCUCAGCAGAGGUGAGCAUUGGUUGUUUCCCUAGCAAAGUCCCCGAGCAGAUUGGAUUCAGUGAAGGUUGUCCCCGGUGGGGUUCUUUCUCCAGCAGCAAUGCUAUUCGCCAGCACGGUUGAGAAGUUGGCGUGUUCCUCAGACAGAGUCUCCCCAGAGUUGACUUGGUUUCCUCUGUCGUCCCCAGAGUUUCAGAUCAGCAAAGCACCCCCAACAGUGCAUCUCCCCACAGAGUUGGAGAAUCCAAUCAGAAGUGUGCGCUCAGGAGAGCGAUCCGUUGGCUCCCCAGCAGGAGUUUUCAUCAUUUUGCAUCUUGCAUGUAGUAAUCAUUGCAUCCUCAAAACGCGUAGCAUUUCCGUUCAACAUGGAGCAUUACGCCAUAGAAAAAUUCAAACAUAUGCAUUCAUGUGUUAAACCUAAUCAGACCAUAUCCCCGGCAGAGGCGGAUCAUUGUUCAACAUCUGUACGGCACAUUUGCUACAGUUGCUCUUGACAGACAGCAUUCAAGGUUGUUUCUCCCCAGUGGGCUCCCCAAUGAGAUCCCCAGCAAGUGUUUAGCCUUGCCUUGACAUAUGUAGAUGUCAUCCCUGUGAUACCAGUAAGUGUCAUGUCAGCACCCGUGUGUGUCCUUUUUUUUUGGUGUCGGUAAACACCAUUGUUUCGGUGUCGGUAAACAUCGAGUCUCAUUCCAGUCAUCGGUAAAUGUUUGAUCGUCCUUUUUUUGGUGUCGGUAAACACCAUUGUUUCGGUGUCGGUAAACAUCGAGUCUUUCUCCCAGUCAUCGGUAAAUGUCUGGUCUUGAUUCACUUUUGUACGCAUCAUCUUUCGAUGUCGGUAAACAUUGUAUCUCUUCCCAGUCAUCCGUUGAUGUCUGGUCACCUCUCCGUUGGUGUCGAUAAACGUUGAGCUUCUCCCGUUCGUCCGUUGACGUCUGGUCGAGUCUUCCCGGUCAUCCGUUGAUGUCUGGUCACCUCUCGUUGGUGUCGAUAAACGUCGAGUUUUUCCCAUUCGUCCGUUGACGUCUGGUUGUAUCUCUUCCCAUUCAUCCGUUGAUGUCUGGUCACCCUCUCCGUUGGUGUCGAUAAACGUCGAGCUUCUCCCGUUCGUCCGUUGACGUCUGGUCGAGUCUUCCUGGUCAUCCGUUGAUGUCUGGUCACCUCUCCGUUGGUGUCAAUAAACGUCGAGUUUUUCCCAUUCGUCCGUUGACGUCUAGUUGUAUCUCUUCUCAGUCAUCCGUUGAUGUCUGGUCACCUCUCCGCUGGUGUCGAUAAACGUCGAGCUUCUCCCGUUCGUCCGUUGACGUCUGGUCGAGUCUUCCCGGUCAUCCGUUGAUGUCUGGUCACCUCUCCGUUGGUGUCGAUAAACCUCGAGUUUUUCCCAUUCGUCCAUUGACGUCUGGUUGUAUCUCUUCCCAUUCAUCCGUUGAUGUCUGGUCACGCUCUCCGUUGGUGUCGAUAAACGUUGAGCUUCUCCCGUUCGCCCGUUGACGUCUGGUCGAGUCUUCCCGGUCAUUCGUUGAUGUCUGGUCACCUCUCCGUUGGUGUCGAUAAACGUCGAACUUCUCCCGUUCGUUCGUUGACGUCUGGUCGAGUCUUCCUGAUCAUCCGUUGAUGUCUGGUCACCUCUCCGUUGGUGUCGAUAAACGUCGAGUUUUUCCCAUUCGUCCGUUGACGUCUGGUUGUAUCUCUUCCCAUUCAUCCGUUGAUGUCUGGUCACCCUCUCCGUUGGUGUCGAUAAACGUCGAGCUUCUCUCGUUCGUCCGUUGACGUCUGGUCGAGUCUUCCCGGUCAUCCGUUGAUGUCUGGUCACCUCUCCGUUGGUGUCGAUAAACGUCGAGUUUUUCCCAUUCGUCCGUUGACGUCUGGUUGUAUCUCUUUUCAGUCAUCCGUUGAUGUCUGGUCACCUCUCCGUUGGUGUCGAUAAACGUCGAGCUUCUCCCGUUCGUCCGUUGACGUCUGGUCGAGUCUUCCCGGUCAUCCGUUGAUGUCUGGUCACCUCUCCGUUGGUGUCGAUAAACGUCGAGUUUUUCCGAUUCGUCCGUUGACGUCUAGUUGUAUCUCUUCCCAUUCAUCCGUUGAUGUCUGGUCACGCUCUCCGUUGGUGUCGAUAAACGUCGAGCUUCUCCCGUUCGCCCGUUGACGUCUGGUCGAGUCUUCCCGGCCAUCCGUUGAUGUCUGGUCACCUCUCCGUUGGUUUCGAUAAACGUCGAGCUUCUCCCGUUCGUCCGUUGACGUCUGGUCGAGUCUUCCCGGUCAUCCAUUGAUGUCUGGUCACCUCUCCAUUGGUGUCGAUAAACGUCAAGUUUUUCCCAUUCGUCCGUUGACGUCUGGUUGUAUCUCUUCCCAUUCAUCCGUUGAUGUCUAGUCACCUCUCCGUUGGUUUCGGUAAACGUCGAGUUUUUCCUAAUCGUCCGUUGGCGUCUAGUUGUGAUUUCUUUGUUCCCAUCCAUCAUCCUUCGAUGACGGGUCGUGGUUCCUUUUCUGAAAAAAAUCAAAAUCCCUAGUGGAGUCGUUGGUGGACGUCUUGUCGGGUCCAGUGAUAAGUAUCAUAUCCUAGUGGAAGUUGUCGUUGGUGAACUUUCUUUUCUUGGAUCACCGCAGAGUGCAAAUUUCUACGGUUCUUUGGUAUUCAAUCCCUGUGUACCUUGAAGGCCUGACACCCGUUGCUCUCAUCCGUUCAGGUUCCCAUGUGAUUGAAUAGGGGCAGCUGUAGCACCUCAAAUUUGCACCUCCCAUUUGUACAUACAUUUCAUUUUUAGGUCAUUAACAUUGCAUUCACAUUGCAUGUCAUGUUGCAUUUCAUCAGUCAAGACUGAUUAGGAGAUUCAACUAUACAAGGCAACAAGAGCAUUUUUCAUGAGAUCAAAGCCCUAUGGUGGUUCCAAUGAGCUUACAUGACCCAAGGAUCAUUUGGAAGCAAUUUGGCCAAGUGUUGAAAGCUCAAAGUCCACAAUGCAGUUUCAGGACAUCUGGGACCCAUAGAAGUCAACUUCAAAGUCAACUGAGGGCUAGGAGGUGGAGAGAUAGUUUGAGACACUUCCUUCAUGUCCCAAAGAAGUUCAUUUGCCAGUACAAAUACUUAUCUUGAAGAGUUUGAGGUCAGAUCAGAAGUUUCCCAAAAUGGAAAAGUUUUGGUUCAAAUUCAACUUGAUUUUACAUCCUCAAAGAAGAUUCAAAUGAAAUUUUGUCCAACAUGAAAGUUGAAGAUCUUUCUCUCCCAUUUCUAAAAAGUCCAAGAUCAUGAGCAUCUGGUGAAUGGUUGAGAAGUUAUGGCCAGAUGAUUGCACAAUGUCAUACCCUGAAAUUCGCCCCGCCCUUCACGUUGAUCUUAUAGGUCACUAAUACCAAAUAUUUACAUAUCAUCCUCAUUCAUUCAUUUCAUUGAAUAAGCAUGGUUCGCCACAAGCAGGCAUCCUCUUGGCAUCAUGUUAAUAAUGGUUCUGAUUAAUUAUAACUUCGUGUUGAUUUCAAUUUCAAAUUAACGUUUGAAGUUUGAAUUGAUUUUGGAGUUAGAUUUGAUCUUUGAAAAUAAAUUUGGUUUUUGAAAUCAUUUCGUUCCUUUUUCGAAUUAAUUUUGGGAAUUCAAGUUGAGUUGGAUGAUCCAAGUUAAUUACUGAAAAGUUGAUUUGGUUGUGGAAAUUUAAUCGUGAUUGCAUUGAGCCCAUUCUUUUCUUUUUUUGUUAAGUCCAUAAGUUUGGUCCAUUAACCAUUUUCCAAAUUAAUCCAUGUUUCUUAAUCCAUUUUUAAAUCCUUAACCAUUUUUACCACAUAUCCAAAUUCAUUUUAUAAUAAUUCAAUCAUAUUAUCCAUUUACAAUCCAUUAUCCAUUUCUACAAUAUAAUUCAUAACCUUUUUUCCAUUAAGUAAUAAAAAGAAGAAUGAUAAGGAGGUGAGCUACAAGCUUCUAAAGCUGCAGUACAGGCUACGGUAAGCGGCAACACGCUUCCAAAAGCUGCAACAAAACAACAACAAGCUCCGACCUGCAGAGCGCAAAAUGGCACCAAACCAAGCCUGAAGCGGUGCAAAACGACGAGCCACCAAGCUAGAACAAUGAUUCAAGCCACAAGAUUCAACAACAGCUUAACAGCUUUUUAAAGACGGCAAGGUGAGCCAAACAGCAAGCUUCAAAAAGCUGCAUAAUUCCAAAGCUUCGAGCCAAACACAAGCCACAAAAUUGAAGUGCAACACACCAGCCGAGCCAACACCAAACUGCACAAGCCAAUACCAAAACCUGCAUGAAGAGCGGCAAAAGAAAUUGAAUAACAUAAAAAACAAACUUCUAAUCUCACUCUCCAUCACUCUAUAAAUUCAUCAAUCUUCACCUAUCUCAAGUUUUUUUUCUUCCAGCUUCUUCUUCAACCAAAACCCUCUUACAGCCUCCAUAACCGUAAUUUCCAUUCCUUCAACCUCAAUUCUUCAACCAUUGCGAAUCCGUAACCGUAACCGUAAUCUCCAUUGGCCAAACCUUCAACCAUUGGGAAUCCGUAACCGUAACCGUAAUCUCCGUUCACCGAACCAUCUUCAACCUUCAUCUUCCAAUCUUCGAUAAAUGAAAUAGUCUCCAAUUCGUCCUCCACUGAAACCACAAUCCUAACGGAAUCAAACGCGCCAUAACAGAAAGAGAAGAAAUCGAAAGUCAUUUGGAAAAUUCGAUACCUAUUCAAUUCGGUGAGUCUUCAAGUUGCUUGCUAUUUCAUUUUUGUUCCGGAUCAUUCAAACGAUAACAGAUCGAGUCGAAUUUGAUGCUAUGAACUUUGAAUCCGGUAACUGAUUAACGAACGAAUCAUCUGUUGAAUGUUAUUGAACCGUCGCGAGAUAUGGAUGAGCGUGGCGCUUACCGAUGAAGAAACGUGUACGGACGGAUUUCAAGAUGUGGAGAAUUGUCCGAUGAAAACGGACGUUAACGAUCGUGUGACGAAGGUGAAGAAGUUCAUGAGCAAAUCCUAUUGCGAAGAUGAAGGAAAGGCGAGCGAAAUCGUGACGAAAGAGCCGUCUAUCAAGAACUCGCCGUGUCUUGUUUUCCUUUGGAUUUGGCUUAAGCGAGCCUCGACGGCGGAAGCUGGGGAAAUGGAAGCACGUUUUCACGGCGGCUUCUGUGUUUCGCUUAACAGGAAGAGAAUUUGGGAGCAGGUUUCCCUUGGUUCGGUUUGGGCCUUGGGUGGUCAAGGCCUGGAGUCUUAGGAGUGACCAUACACCACCUCCGAAUCCAGUACACCCCCACUGAAUGGGCCUGGCUUCAAUCCAUCUCAGAACCCAAUUGUUUCUUUUUCUUUUUGUUUACUAAUUAACUUAUAAUUACUUUACUAGAAUAUUUAGUUUAGGAACAUUAGAAUUAAUCAGGUAUUAGGAUUCUUAAUUAGUCAUUAGAAUUAAAUAGUCUUAGGAAUAUUAAACCUUGAUUAAACUUUUAGGAUUUUAGAAUAUUGAUUAGAUUAGUCUAAUAGAAUUUUAGAUAAUUAGUUUUUUUAGAAUUUUAAUUAGGUACUAAAAUUUGGUUAGAAUUUAAUUAGAAAAUAAUUAGAAAUAAUUCUAGGAUUAGAAUAUGUUAGAAAUAAUUUUAGAAAUAUUAAAUCUAGUUUAGAUAUAAUUAGAAUUUUCAUGUAUAGAUAUUAAUCCAUAACUGUGAAAUGACGAUUCUACCCCUAGGCUUAGAAAUAAUUCAAUCUUGCACGCUCCCUUAAUUUUAGGACGUGUUAUUACUUGAUUAAAUGAGCUUCAUGUGGAGUAUUAGGUUCUGUUUUGACUUUUUGAUCCCCUUUUGACCCUAGGCUUGGACCUAGUGGUUUGUUGCUUACAUUUGAGUUGUGGAUUUCAGGUUCAAGUGUGCAUCUUCACGAUUGAUGUUGCUCCCUCAUUUGAGCUUGAUCAUUUGUUCUUGUUGGCUAACAUUGCUUGUUUUGUAGGCUUUGAGGACAAUUCACUUAUGUUUGCUCAUUGUUGCAUGAUGAUUUGGGUUGUCUAUUUGAUAUUGACUGUUAACUGUUUGUCUGGAUUUUGUACUGAUUGGUUGGUUGUUUACACAGGUACUUUAGCCGCUUUAACUCAUUAUUUGAGUUGAUUUGCAUUGCUUGUGGUUUGCAUACCACUGAGGUAUAAUUCCUUGAUCUUCAUGUAGUCUGGAAGACCUGUCAUGUUAUGUUGGCAGGCACUUGUUUGAAGCCCUCCUUAAGAGGCAAUUCUUGUGUUUGUUUAAUUUUGUGCCAAGCAGGUAAAGACCUCUCAAGAGGCAAUUGGCAGAUAAAAGGGAUGUGCAAUCCAUCCUCUGCUAUUCAGUUGUGUCAUUCACUUUGCUCACUGUCAUACCCCAAAAUUUGCCCGUUGGCAUUACCAAACAUUUUCCAAGACCCUCUGACUUGUUCUGCAAGGCACCGGUAUCAAAUGGACAAAAGCCCACUCACAUAAGGCCCAAUCCACAGGCGGCCCAAAACAUCUGGCUCGCUAGGCGAGUAGCUCCUUCGCCUAGCGAACAUUUCAUCAUGUCCCUCGCCCAGCGAAGCAUUGGAUCCAGGAAGAAGCCCAGACCUAGUUUGCUCGCUAGGCGAGCAAUUCCUUCGCCUAGCGAAGCUUGCGAAGUUUGAGAUUUUUGGACCUCAUUUUAAGCCCAUUAGGUCACCACUACCUCUACUAUAAAUACCUACUUCUCUGCCACGAAAAACACACACACAGACGGACGAAGACGGACGGAAACACGCAUCCAGAGGGAGAAACACAGAAACCCUGCUGAUCCAAAGAAUUCAGAAGGCGGAAACCCUGAAGGCCGCUUACUCGCUCCGAAGCUACCGCCGUCCAACUCAAUCCGACUCGCCAAUUCAAGGUUACAACUUGAUUUGCAAACAGGCUAGCAUACUUCCGAAGAAAUAGCCGGUUAGGUACUCCGCUUUACGCAUGGGAAGCCUUCAUGGAGGGGGAUCCUAAAUCAUUUCACUUUAAUGUGAAGAUCCAUAUUGAUUGCCUAAUUAAUUUUACUAUAUUAAUUUUUAAUGUAAUGUUGAUUUUAAUGUAUUGAUUUAAUGCGGUAUCACCAUAAUUACCUAAUGGACUUAAAACAUGGACUUUAAAUAAAUGACAUCGGACCUCUCUUUAUUACCCCACGAUUACAUAAUGCGGUCAUGUCCCGCGAAUAUGGGGAUAUCCUUAGCAAAGACCCUUCGGUAAAAUCAUCAUAGUCCCUCGGAUGUUGCCUUCGAACAUACGAUUUUGUCCCUCGAUGACCCUUCGGUGUAGCCUACGGUUAAAUGAUGAUAGUCCCUUCGAAUGCUAAGGUAUCCUCACAACUGUUGCCUUCAAUGACCUAUCGAUGACCCUACGAUGACCCUUAUACAUCCCCAGGAUAAAACUACUUACUUCUCAAUAGUAAGGACAGUUUUACCCUCAUAAGGAUGGGAAAUGCCCAGAAAGACCUCGGACAGGUAUAACCUUAAUUGCUCAUUCAUAAUAGAAAAAUGCUUUUCACACCCCACACCUUUCAAAUAUCUUUUGGAAAAUCACCACUUAGCAUACAUCCAUACUAGGAUCAUUGCCGAGUUAUAUUUUUCUAAACUACUUUCGAGAAACCAAACGAGAUAACCACUUUGUAUACAUUCGUGCAAGAAUCAUUACAAAGUUAAAUUCUCAUUUUCAAAACAUUUUUCACACAGUUCUCAACCACCUUUUUCAAACUAGAAAACAUAAAUGAUUGAGCAAUUAAGAGCCCAUGGAUAACCAUGGAUACAAAGGGUGCUAAUACCUUCCCUUUGUAUAAAGUACCUCCCGAACCUAAGAAUUUAAAAUUAAGGUCUUUCCUGUUCUUUUCCACCUUUCCUUAAGGGAUAAAAGAAAAGUCGGUGGCGACUCUUGCUAACCGCGACAUUGCGAUUACAAAUCCAAUAAAGUCCAGUUCACCGUAUGACACUCACACACCAUGUAUUGAUGCAUUGUGAAUAAGAACCCAAGAUCUUGUUGUGUCAGUCAUAUGUGGAGAAGAGUUCCUACAUUAUGAACUCCCACACUUUCUAUUUGAGUCAAGCUCUCCCAGGCCAGGGAUAAGAGCUGUGAGGUCUUACCCUCACUUCCCAUUUCAUCUGCUUCACCCUAACUCUCGAUGUUGGGGUUAAGAGCUAACCACACCCUAUUCCAGUUGGCUUGUUUGUCGAGGUUGACAUGACCCCUUGACUAAAGCCUAGUCUUGUGUGAGCCAAUUGUUUGCAUAUAGUGUGUGUGCUUGCUCUUGUGCUUGUGUUUGAUGAUUGUGCUGUUUAGGCUAGCUUGCUUCCUGUGCAAGUGAGGAUAGAGACCUCAACAUAGGGAUCGUAUGCAUGACAACUUCUAGGCUCGAGUCGUAGUCUCCCUAGUAGUCUGUUAUCUCCCUUUGUCUCUGGUUAGGUUAGAAGUUCUUUCCCUGUUUAGGGGAACUACGUCGCCCUGAUCCUCAUGCCAGAUGAGGUACGUAGGCAGGAGAUGAGUUGAUCUCUCCGGGCGCCCUUUUCUUUUUCAACCCCUCUUGUGUGUGUUGGAGUCUGACGUAAGUCCAGCGAUUGGCAGUCGGUUUCCUGUGUCUUGUUUGCUUGUUGGAGUCUGACGUAAGUCCAGCGAUUGGAAGUUGGUUUCCUUUGUGUGUUUGUUGGUUCGGAGUCUGAUGUAAGUCCAGCGAUUGGCAUUCGAUUUCCAUGUUUGCCUGUUUGUGUGGAGUCUGACGUAAGUCCAGCGAUUGGCAGUCGGUUUCCUGUUUGUGUUUUGUUUGGCGUGCGUUAGCCGAGCUACGAGUGCUCUGAUUCUUCUCUGGUUAGAGAAGAUACGUAUGCAUAGGAUGCGACAUCCUAGCGAGCACGUUUCCCCUGUCCCGAACUACGUCGACUCUGAUGUCUGUGCUUAACAGACUACGUAGGCCCAGGAUGCGAUAUCCUGCCGAGUCCUCUUCUUCCGUCUUUCACCUGUG